CAGUGAGCUAUGAUUGCACCACAGCACUGGGCAUUGGGGGUAGGGGAUGCUAAAUAUUUUCAAAGAAAAGUAUAACUGGAAAAGUUAUUUAAUGGUCUUAAUGUUUAAGAAUUUUUUUGUGUAUGUGUGUGUGUAGAUCCAACAUUUAGUUUAAUGUUUGAUGGCUGCUUUGAAGAAAUCAAGUUCAGUACUCCUUCCCUGCUAAAUGUUGCCAGCUACCUACAAAUGAUUUGCUUAACUGAGAAUUUUAGAACUGAUGUAAAAGACUUUGUAACCUUGUUAGCUGCAAAUAAUUGUGAUAUCAGAAAAAGUAUCCUUUACCUACAUUUCUGGAUUAGAAGUGGAGGCGGAUUUUUAGAAGAAAGACCAUUAACCCUUUAUCGAGGAAGUAGCAGAAAUGUACAACUAGUUUGCUCUGAAGAUGGCCUUGAUAACAAAAUUCACCCUAAAAAUACUAAAAGGAAACGUGCAGACCUUCCGAAAUGUGACAGUGGCUGUGCUGAGACCUUGUUUGGCCUUAGGAACAUUUUUUCCCCAUCUGAAGACUUGUUUUCAUUUUUAAAGCACAAAAUCACAACGAAGGAAGAAUGGCAUAAACUCAUUCAGCUUCUUACUGAAUUCCAAAUGCGGAAUGUAGAUUUUUUAUAUAAUAAUCUUGAGUUUAUUCUGCCAUUACCAGUUGACACCAUUCCAGAAACAAAAAACCUUUGUGGCUCAUCAGUAACUGUGGAUACCAGUGGAGCAACAAAAAGUAUGAAAUGUCUUGGUAGGAAACAUUCUGAAAGAGAACAGCCAUUGAAAAAGUCACAGAAAAAGAAACAAAAGAAAAAAUUGGUAACAUUAGAUGAUAGUGACUUAUUCGACACUGACUUGGACUUCCCUGAUGAAUUGAUUAGCCUGUCCCCUGUGUCAUCUUCCUCAAAUUCAGAAGAAAAGAAAGCCAGAGACAAAGGAAGCAAUCCAGAGACAAAGAAAUCUAUUUCUUGUCCUCCCAGAAUACCUGCAGGAAAAAAAAGUUCUCCCCUUGUUUCUCAUUGUUUAAAUUCUCUCUCUGAAUUCGUGGAUAAUAUGUCCUUCUUAGAUGCCCUUUUAACUGAUGUAAGGGAACAAAAGGAAUACGGUAGAAAUGACUUCAACUGGACAAACGGAAAGGUUAAAAGUGGACUUUGUGAUGAGUUUAGUCUUGAGAGUAAUGAUGGAUGGACUUCUCAAAGCUCUGGAGAAUUAAAGGCAGCUGCAGAAGCUCUCAGCUUUACUAAAUGUUCUUCUACUAUUUCAAAAGCAUUGGAAACCUUGAAUUCUUGCAAGAAAUUGGGAAAAGAUCCAACCAACGAUCUUACUUUUUAUGUUUCACAAAAGCGCAAUAAUGUAUACUUUAGUCAGUCAGCAGCUAACUUAGAGUAAGU
rnacentral:lncRNA from 1 species